AUACGUAGGGUGCGAGCGUUGUCCGGAAUUACUGGGCGUAAAGAGCUCGUAGGUGGUUUGUCGCGUCGUCUGUGAAAUUCCGGGGCUUAACUCCGGGCGUGCAGGCGAUACGGGCAUAACUUGAGUACUGUAGGGGAGACUGGAAUUCCUGGUGUAGCGGUGAAAUGCGCAGAUAUCAGGAGGAACACCGGUGGCGAAGGCGGGUCUCUGGGCAGUAACUGACACUGAGGAGCGAAAGCAUGGGUAGCGAACAGGAUUAGAUACCCUGGUAGUCCAUGCCGUAAACGGUGGGCGCUAGGUGUAGGGGUCUUCCACGACUUCUGUGCCGUAGCUAACGCAUUAAGCGCCCCGCCUGGGGAGUACGGCCGCAAGGCUAAAACUCAAAGGAAUUGACGGGG
rnacentral:rRNA from 1 species